UGGGGAAUAUUGCACAAUGGGCGCAAGCCUGAUGCAGCCAUGCCGCGUGUAUGAAGAAGGCCUUCGGGUUGUAAAGUACUUUCAGCGGGGAGGAAGGGAGUAAAGUUAAUACCUUUGCUCAUUGACGUUACCCGCAGAAGAAGCACCGGCUAACUCCGUGCCAGCAGCCGCGGUAAUACGGAGGGUGCAAGCGUUAAUCGGAAUUACUGGGCGUAAAGCGCACGCAGGCGGUUUGUUAAGUCAGAUGUGAAAUCCUCGGGCUCAACCUGGGAACUGCAUCUGAUACUGGUCAGCUAGAGUCUUGUAGAGGGGGGUAGAAUUCCAUGUGUAGCGGUGAAAUGCGUAGAGAUGUGGAGGAAUACCGGUGGCGAAGGCGGCCCCCUGGACGAAGACUGACGCUCAGGUGCGAAAGCGUGGGGAGCAAACAGG
rnacentral:rRNA from 1 species